CCUACGGGAGGCUGCAGUGGGGAAUAUUGGACAAUGGGGGCAACCCUGAUCCAGCCAUGCCGCGUGUGUGAAGAAGGCCCUCGGGUUGUAAAGCACUUUCAGUGAGGAAGAACGCCUGGUGGUUAAUACCCAUCAGGAAAGACAUCACUCACAGAAGAAGCACCGGCUGACUCCGUGCCAGCAGCCGCGGUAAUACGGAGGGUGCGAGCGUUAAUCGGAAUUACUGGGCGUAAAGCGCGCGUAGGUGGCUUGAUAAGCCGGUUGUGAAAGCCCCGGGCUCAACCUGGGAACGGCAUCCGGAACUGUCAAGCUAGAGUGCAGGAGAGGAAGGUAGAAUUCCCGGUGUAGCGGUGAAAUGCGUAGAGAUCGGGAGGAAUACCAGUGGCGAAGGCGGCCUUCUGGACUGACACUGACACUGAGGUGCGAAAGCGUGGGUAGCAAACAGGAUUAGAUACCCUUGUAGUC
rnacentral:rRNA from 1 species